rnacentral:rRNA from 1 species
GGGUGUNUNGGGUGGCUAGCGAGUUUACUUUGAAAAAAUUAGAGUGCUUAACACAGGCUAACGCCUGAAUACUCGUGCAUGGAAUAAUAGAAUAAGACCACGGNUCUAAUUAUCAUAAUGACGACUUUCCUCAUUUGUUGCAAAUGCNUUGGUGCCCNANAGAUGCNGAACUACNCCUGGGCAAGAC